UACGUAGGGACCAAGCGUUGUUCGGAUUUACUGGGCGUAAAGGGCGCGUAGGCGGCGUGGUAAGUCACUUGUGAAAUCUCUGAGCUUAACUCAGAACGGCCAAGUGAUACUGCUGUGCUAGAGUGCAGAAGGGGCAAUCGGAAUUCUUGGUGUAGCGGUGAAAUGCGUAGAUAUCAGGAGGAACACCGGUGGCGAAGGCGGUUCUCUGGGCAUGACCUGACGCUGAGGAGCGAAAGUGUGGGGAGCGAACAGG
rnacentral:rRNA from 1 species